GACGAACGCUGGCGGCGUGCUUAACACAUGCAAGUCGAACGGAAAGGCCCUGCUUUUGUGGGGUGCUCGAGUGGCGAACGGGUGAGUAACACGUGAGUAACCUGCCCUUGACUUUGGGAUAACUUCAGGAAACUGGGGCUAAUACCGGAUAGGAGCUCCUGCUGCAUGGUGGGGGUUGGAAAGUUUCGGCGGUUGGGGAUGGACCCGCGGCUUAUCAGCUUGUUGGUGGGGUAGUGGCUUACCAAGGCUUUGACGGGUAGCCGGCCUGAGAGGGUGACCGGCCACAUUGGGACUGAGAUACGGCCCAGACUCCUACGGGAGGCAGCAGUGGGGAAUAUUGCACAAUGGGCGGAAGCCUGAUGCAGCAACGCCGCGUGCGGGAUGACGGCCUUCGGGUUGUAAACCGCUUUCGCCUGCGACGAAGCGUGAGUGACGGUAAUGGGUAAAGAAGCACCGGCUAACUACGUG
rnacentral:rRNA from 1 species